AGCGUAGACGGUGUGGCAAGUCUGAUGUGAAAGGCAUGGGCUCAACCUGUGGACUGCAUUGGAAACUGUCAUGCUUGAGUGCCGGAGGGGUAAGCGGAAUUCCUAGUGUAGCGGUGAAAUGCGUAGAUAUUAGGAGGAACACCAGUAGCGAAGGCGGCUUACUGGACGGUAACUGACGUUGAGGCUCGAAAGCGUGGGGAGCAAACA
rnacentral:rRNA from 1 species